CAACUUAAAAACUUUAAUUUUUAAUAUAGUCGGUGAAGUUAUCUCAAUAUAUAAUAUUUACAAAAUAAAAUUGAUUGAGCUUCGAGCCUUCGAAUCAAUCCUUAUGUCUUCUACACAACAACAGAUGUGCACCACUUCCUUAUUCAAAGUUUUCUACCCGCAAUCUAAUCGUAUAGAAGUUUUCAAAUCAAAUAUUUGCCUUUUUGGAUAGAUUUUGUUUUUUUUAUGUUGAAUAGAUAUAUAAAUAUCGAUUAAGACCCCGUUAACACAGAGCCGGAUGAAUUUAGAACCGUACUCAAAUUCGACCGAUCUCGCCCUGCGUUCACACGGGACGCAUGAAGCUGGACGAAUUCCAGCACGGUUAACCGUACGAAUACGAGACCAAAUAAAAUUAGGUUUCGUUUUGUAGCAGAAUGGUUCCUCAAUAGACCACAAAUGACGUCACAAGGCUUGAUGCCCACGAGGAAUGCUGGUCUUAGUUGUCAUCGCCCGGGAAAAUUAAACAAUUCAAAAUGGCCACUAUAGAAAUUUUCCUGGGCGAUGACUAUUAAGACCAGUAUUCCUCGCGGGCAUCAAGCCUUGUGACGUCAUUAUGCACAAGGUCAAUUAGACGGCGCCAAGUGAACAGCGGAACCGGUCUUUUUUAAGACCAUUUUGCACGGUAGAGGAUUGAGACUGACUGAGGCCGAAGUAAAUACUUUCGGGACUAAAAUUCAUCCGGUUCCGUGUGAAAAUGUAGAACCGCGGACGAAUUUGAGUACGGUUCCGAAUUCAUCUGUGCCCGUGUGAACGGGGUUAAAAUGGUGAAAAAACUCUUGUUUUGACGAAGGGCCUUUGUUCGAAAUGUCACGUUCUUUCUUUAAUAAUUGCUAUAGCAAGAACCAAAUCAAAGGAUUUAUCAUGAAACAAUUGAUAUGUGUUCAGAAAAAUUCAGUUUAACUCUCGUCUGCUUCUAUACGAUAAAAACAAAGUGUUGCCUCAUCAUUUUUGUACAUAUUUGUAGAAGCGUUUGCAUGUACAUUGUUUUGUACAUAUUUGUAGAAAGAAUGUAUCUGGUCAUUCACAAUUCAACUUAUUAUUUCACAGUGCGUGUAUACACAGGCAUGCCAUAGACUAUUGGUGCCGCACCAUUGAUAUACUUCAUGUUACAAACAUGGCGGGAUUGUGUCACACAUUGCGUGAGAGAAAGAUUAUCAUCUUUAAACCACAGGUGCAGUAAAUUUGUAGUGAAUUUAUCAAUAUCACGAUCUGUGACGUCCCAAAGAUUUCCAACCACGGUUGGACU